GGGCCGUGGCUCAGUGGCAGGGCACCUGCUUGGCAUGCAAAAGGUCCCCGGUUCGAUCCCCAGCAGGCCCA
rnacentral:tRNA from 1 species